GACGAACGCUGGCGGCGUGCUUAACACAUGCAAGUCGAACGGAAAGGCCCAGCUUGCUGGGUGCUCGAGUGGCGAACGGGUGAGUAACACGUGGGUGAUCUGCCCCUAACUUCGGGAUAAGCUUGGGAAACUGGGUCUAAUACCGGAUAGGACAAUCGUUUAGUGUCGGUUGUGGAAAGUUUUUUCGGUUAGGGAUGGGCCCGCGGCCUAUCAGCUUGUUGGGGGGGUAAUGGCCUACCAAGGCGUCGACGGGUAGCCGGCCUGAGAGGGUGGACGGCCACAUUGGGACUGAGAUACGGCCCAGACUCCUACGGGAGGCAGCAGUGGGGAAUAUUGCACAAUGGGCGCAAGCCUGAUGCAGUGACGCCGCGUGGGGGAUGACGGCCUUCGGGUUGUAAACCUCUUUCGACAGGGACGAAGCUUUGGUGACGGUACCUGUAUAAGAAGCACCGGCUAACUACGUGCCAGCCGCCGCAGUAA
rnacentral:rRNA from 1 species